AUAUUGGAUAAUGGGGGCAACCCUGACCCAGCCAUGUGGCGCGUGUGAAGAAGGUCUUCGGUUCGUAAAGUAAUUUAGGUUGUGAGGAAGGGCUUUAGGAUAAUACACUGAAUCUUUGACGUUCCCGACAUAACAAUAACCGGCUAACUUCGUGCCAGCAGCCGCGGUAAUACGAAGGGUGCAAGAGUGAAUAGGAAUUAUUGGGCGUAAAGCGCGCGUAGGUGGUUUGUUAAGUUGGAAGUGAAAGACCCGAGCUCAACCUGGGGACUACUUUCAUAACUGCUGAGCUAGAGUACGGUAGAGGGUAGUGGAAUAUCCUGCGUAGCAGUGAAAUACGUAGAUAUAGGAAGGAACACCAGUGGCGAAGGCGACUACCUGGACUGAUACUGACACUGAGGUGCGAAAACGUGGGGAGCAAAC
rnacentral:rRNA from 1 species